GCGGGGGUGGCCGAGCCAGGUCAAAGUCGGCGGACUUAAGAUCCGCUCCCUCAGGGGUUCGUGGGUUCAAAUCCCACCCCCCGCACCA
rnacentral:tRNA from 1 species